rnacentral:rRNA from 1 species
AUAUUGAGCCCCAGUACACUAAAGGCAUCAGAUCCCAUCUGAUCUUGGAAACUAAGCAGUGUCAGACUUGGUUAUUAUUUGGAUGGGAGACCACUAAUGAAUGCCAGGUACUGUAGGCU